rnacentral:misc_RNA from 1 species
CCGAGUUGACAAACUCCCAAACCCCUGUGAACGUACCUAAUCCGUUGCCUUCGGCGGGCCGGCCCCGGGUCUCCCCGGGCGCCCUGGACCCAUCGCGGGCGCCCGCCGGAGGACCCCUAAACUCCUUGAUUCCACGUGUAUGGCUCUCUGAGUACUACUAAGCAAUAAAGUCA